UUUACUUAGAUUUCUUCGGGAUGAAGAGUAUUGUGACUGAGCGGCGGACGGGUGAGUAACGCGUGGGUAACCUGCCUCACACAGGGGGAUAACAGUUGGAAACGGCUGCUAAUACCGCAUAAGCGCACAGUACCGCAUGGUACGGUGUGAAAAACUCCGGUGGUAUAAGAUGGACCCGCGUUGGAUUAGCUAGUUGGUGAGGUAACGGCCCACCAAGGCGACGAUCGGUAGCCGGACUGAGAGGUUGAACGGCCACAUUGGGACUGAGACACGGCCCAGACUCC
rnacentral:rRNA from 1 species